CUUGCUUCCGCUGACGACCGGCGCACGGGUGCGUAACGCGUAUGCAACCUACCUCAUACUGGAGAAUAGCCCUUGGAAACGAGGAUUAAUGCUCCAUAGUAUCACAGAUUCGCAUGUUUCUGUGAUUAAAGAAUUUCGGUAUGAGAUGGGCAUGCGUCCUAUUAGUUAGUUGGUAAGGUAACGGCUUACCAAGACAGCGAUAGGUAGGGGUCCUGAGAGGGAGAUCCCCCACACUGGUACUGAGACACGGACCAGACUCCUACGGGAGGCAGCAGUGAGGAAUAUUGGACAAUGGAGGAGACUCUGAUCCAGCCAUGCCGCGUGUAGGAAGAAUGCCCUAUGGGUUGUAAACUACUUUUAUACAGGAAGAAACACUGGUAUGUAUACCAGCUUGACGGUACUGUAAGAAUAAGGACCGGCUAACUCCGUGCCAGCAGCCGCGGUAAUACGGAGGGUCCGAGCGUUAUCCGGAAUCAUUGGGUUUAAAGGGUCCGCAGGCGGUCGAUUAAGUCAGAGGUGAAAUCCCAUAGCUCAACUAUGGAACUGCCUUUGAUACUGGUUGACUUGAGUCAUAUG
rnacentral:rRNA from 1 species